GACGGAAGGUGCAAGCGUUGCUCGGAAUCACUGGGCGUAAAGGGUGCGUAGGCGGCCGUGCAAGUCUGGCGUGAAAGCCCCGGGCUCAGCCCGGGAAGUGCGCUCGAAACUGCGCGGCUCGAGUGCCGGAGGGGAGAGAGGAAUCCCUGGUGUAGCGGUGAAAUGCGUAGAUAUCAGGAGGAAUACCGGUGGCGAAAGCGACUCUCUGGACGGCAACUGACGCUGAGGCACGAAAGCGUGGGGAGCAAACAGG
rnacentral:rRNA from 1 species